rnacentral:rRNA from 1 species
AUUGAACGCUGGCGGCGUGCCUAACACAUGCAAGUCGAGCGGUAACAGGUGUAGCAAUACAUGCUGACGAGCGGCGAACGGGUGAGUAAUGCUUCGGAAUCUACCCAAUGGUGGGGAAUAACCAGCCGAAAGGUUGGCUAAUACCGCAUACGUCCCACGGGAGAAAGCAGGGGAUCGCAAGACCUUGCGCCAAUGGAUGAGCCGAAGUCGGAUUAGCUAGUGGUAGGGUAACGGCCUACCAAGGCGACGAUCCGUAGCUGGUCUGAGAGGACGACCAGCCACACUGGGACUGAGACACGGCCCAGACUCCUACGGGAGGCAGCAGUGGGGAA